rnacentral:ncRNA from 2 species
CUCUUAUCGUGAGAGGUGGAGGGACUGGGCCCUGUGAAACCCGGCAACCGUCAGUGAAGACUGAAAUGGUGCCAAUUCCUACAAAGCAUGCAAGUAUGGUGCUUUGAAAGAUGAGAG